AUGUGGGGUCUUGUGAGGAUAGGGUUGAGACAGCAGAGUAAACAGCAUAGGACAGCUUGGGACAUUGUGGGAACAGAAGGAAAACAGUGCAGGAAUAAUGCAGCCAACCUUGUAGAGUGUGUCAGAGGCGCUGUAGCCCACGCUGAGCAGGAAGAGGCUGAUGAAGAUGGUGAUGGUCGUCCAGAGCCUUUCCAGCUCCCCAUCCUGGACCUCAUCAGCACAGGUCUUGUCCAGUCUGAACAGACAGGCCAGUCAGUCUUUGUCCCAACAAGGGCUGAGGCAAUUCCCUGCAUGGCAGACAAGCUCAGAGCCGGGCUGUCAGAGGCACAGUGCCAAGGCCAGAAGAGCAGCAGUCUUCUUCACAAGGCUCCACGCGUGAGUGUGGUCAGCAGGGAAGCUGGAGAAAGCUGCAGCCUAGGGAGAACACAGGGUCUUUCAAGACCUAAUAGACUGCAGAUCACAGGAGGCUUGGAAGGAGCUGACAGAUCAGCCCCACCAGAGGGGCCUGUCUGUUGCAGACCUGCAGCCUGGUGCCAAUCAGGCAGACUCCAGAGUUCCCACAGGCAGAAGAACAGACCACAAAAGCUGCACACAUCUACGGACAACCAGACCACAACAACACGCCCAUCUGUCUAUCCACUGGCCCCUGCAUGUGGUGAUACAACUGGCUCCCCAGUGACCCUGGGAUGCCUGGUCAAGGGCUUUUUCCCUGAGCCAGUGACCGUGACCUGGAACUCUGGAUCCCUGACCAGCGGUGUGCACACCUUCCCAGCUGUCCUGCAGUCUGGACUCUACACUCUCAGCAGCUCAGUGGCUGUACCCUCCGGUACCUGGCCCGAACAGACCAUCACCUGCAACGUAGACCACCCGGCCAGCAGCACCAAGGUGGACAAGAUCAUUGAGCCCAGAGGCCCGCCCACACCUGCCACAACUCCAUGUCCUAAGUGUAUCAAAUGCCCAGCUCCUGAACUCUUGGGUGGGCCAUCCGUCUUCAUCUUCCCCCCAAAGCCCAAGGAUGCACUCAUGAUCACCCAGAAUGCCAAGGUCACGUGUGUGGUGGUGGACGUGAGCGAGGAUGAUCCAGAUGUCCAGUUCAACUGGUUUGUGAACAACGUAGAAGUACACACAGCUCAGACGCAGCCCCGUCAGGAGCAGUACAACAGCACCUUCCGGGUGGUCAGUGCCCUCCCCAUCCAGCACCAGGACUGGAUAAGUGGCAAGGAGUUCAAAUGCAAGGUCUACAACAAAGCCCUCCCAGCCCCCAUCGAGAGGACCAUCUCUAAGCCCAAAGGGAUAGUCAGAGCACCACAGGUAUACGUCUUGCCUCCACCAGCAGAACAGAUGACCAAGAAAGAGGUCAUUUUGACCUGUGUAGUCAUAGGCUUCCUCCCUGAAGACAUUGAUGUGGAGUGGAAAACAGAGCAGAGCUACAAGAACACCCCACCAGUCCUGGACUCUGACGGCUCCUACUUCAUAUACAGCAAGCUUAAAGUGGAAAGGAAGCGAUGGGAGCAAGGAAAGGCCUUCACCUGCGAAGUGAUACAUGAGGGGCUGCACAACCGUCACACGGAGAAGAGCAUCUCCCGAUCUCUGGGGCUGGAUCUGGACAACACCUGUGCUGAGGCCCAGGACGGGGAGCUGGACGGGCUCUGGACAACCAUCACCAUCUUCAUCAGCCUCUUCCUGCUCAGCGUGUGCUACAGCGCCUCUGUCACACUCUACAAGGUAAAGUGGAUCUUCUCCUCAGUGGUGGAGCUGAAGCAGACAAUCUCCCCUGACUACCGAAACAUGAUUGGGCAGGGAGCCUAGGCCACUUCCUGUGGGAUAAGCAGAUCUUCCUAGGCCCUGCAGAACCCCAUCCAUCCGACUGUGCAGCCUAACAUGGAGGCCCACACUGCCGUCUUGACACCAACACCCUCUAGCCUUAUGACUCUCUGAUCCAGAACUCUCGAUGGUCUUCCCUUUGGAGGACCAUGUGGACAGCAGGCUUUACCCCAGACACAAACAACUCUUCCUCAGCAGUUGCCAAAUAACUGAUUGGAGCCAGAAGAACCCUCUCCAUCCAAACCGGCACCAGGGUACCUGAGAUCUCAGAAUGCUUACCUAAGAGGAGCUGGGAGUCCGUGUUGCCUGAGUUCAGAUGCAUGAGAAUCAGGCAUGGUGUUGGCCUUCGCCACACAUCUUCAUCAGAAAUGGAUCUUCCCAGGAAGGGCAGCAUUUUAGAUCCUUAAGAGGAGACAUCUGCUAGGAAGACCAGUGUCCCCAUAGCCCAAGUGUUCAUUCUGGUAGCCUUUGCAUCAGCUACACUUGGCCAGCUUCCUUCCUGGUGCUUCUGUGAACCCUGGGCUGGGAAAAGGGUCUGUGAUGCUCACUGUGGGGACUAGCCUCCUGAAGACGACGCAGACUUCUCUCCCUGCUACCCACUCAACACGCCGGAUUCUCAGACGCAGCAUCCAAUCCACAGACACCAUUGACCACACAACCUCAAGGCAAGGCCACUGCCACCUCCACAGAGACUCCAUCCACACUGCAGAAGAGGCAAAAGGACUGUUUUGUGUAGCCUCCGCAAAGCCCUAGCAGGGGCAAAUGCAUUCACCACUGAGUACUAGUUAGGUGACCAGGCAGGAAUACCUCCACGGGAGGGCCCUCAUGAGAAGAUUCCUGUUGGACUCAAGAAAAUAGGGGUGGGGGGAAAGGAUCAAUGGGGGAGAGAUGUGAACAGAUCAUUAGACGAAAGCCAUGAGCUUUCCUGCCAGGUCUAUCCUGCAGGCCUGGUGUCCAGACUGGACCACCUACAACAGAAAACAUCAGUUGCAAUGGACGUCUAGGAGAACCAACCUGGAAUACCAGGGUGACUGUAGCAGAUGGAGAGUGGCCCAGUAUCUACUUCUCCAUUAUCUCUCAUGGCCAAUAAGAAGCCAGAGUCACCAGACAGAAAGAAAGAGUGAGCUCCAGUGCUCCAGCUUUUCUGUGACUGAUAGGAAUGCUAAGAGAGCUUGGACCUCUAACAGCUUCUUUUUUCUAGAGAUGUGAAUGUCUUUAAGCUUCUCUCUCUCUCUUUCUCUCUCUCUCUCUCUGUGUGUGUGUGUGUGUGUGUGUGUGUGCGUGUGUGUGUGUGUACUCACACGCUGUUGUUUUUGGCAUUUUAAACAAUAAAACAGUCUUUUAAUGUUUUGUA